CUAUGGGGUAGUAGGUGUCGUUUACCACUAUGGGGUAGUAGGUGUCGUUUACCACUAUGGGGUAGUAGGUGUCGUUUACCACUAUGGGGUAGUAGGUGUCGUUUACCACUAUGGGGUAGUAGGUGUCGUUUACCACUAUGGGGUAGUAGGUGUCGUUUACCACUGGGGUAGUAGGUGUCGUUUACCACUAUGGGGUAGUAGGUGUCGUUUACCACUAUGGGGUAGUAGGUGUCGUUUACCACUAUGGGGUAGUAGGUGUCGUUUACCACUAUGGGGUAGUAGGUGUCGUUUACCACUAUGGGGUAGUAGGUGUCGUUUACCACUGGGGUAGUAGGUGUCGUUUACCACUAUGGGGUAGUAGGUGUCGUUUACCACUGGGGUAGUAGGUGUCGUUUACCACUAUGGGGUAGUAGGUGUCGUUUACCACUAUGGGGUAGUAGGUGUCGUUUACCACUAUGGGGUAGUAGGUGUCGUUUACCACUAUGGGGUAGUAGGUGUCGUUUACCACUGGGGUAGUAGGUGUCGUUUACCACUAUGGGGUAGUAGGUGUCGUUUACCACUAUGGGGUAGUAGGUGUCGUUUACCACUAUGGGGUAGUAGGUGUCGUUUACCACUAUGGGGUAGUAGGUGUCGUUUACCACUAUGGGGUAGUAGGUGUCGUUUACCACUAUGGGGUAGUAGGUGUCGUUUACCACUAUGGGGUAGUAGGUGUCGUUUACCACUAUGGGGUAGUAGGUGUCGUUUACCACUAUGGGGUAGUAGGUGUCGUUUACCACUGGGGUAGUAGGUGUCGUUUACCACUAUGGGGUAGUAGGUGUCGUUUACCACUAUGGGGUAGUAGGUGUCGUUUACCACUAUGGGGUAGUAGGUGUCGUUUACCACUGGGGUAGUAGGUGUCGUUUACCACUAUGGGGUAGUAGGUGUCGUUUACCACUAUGGGGUAGUAGGUGUCGUUUACCACUAUGGGGUAGUAGGUGUCGUUUACCACUGGGGUAGUAGGUGUCGUUUACCACUAUGGGGUAGUAGGUGUCGUUUACCACUAUGGGGUAGUAGGUGUCGUUUACCACUAUGGGGUAGUAGGUGUCGUUUACCACUAUGGGGUAGUAGGUGUCGUUUACCACUAUGGGGUAGUAGGUGUCGUUUACCACUAUGGGGUAGUAGGUGUCGUUUACCACUAUGGGGUAGUAGGUGUCGUUUACCACUAUGGGGUAGUAGGUGUCGUUUACCACUAUGGGGUAGUUUGUAGUAGGCUUUUAUUUUUAAGUAUUGUACUGUUAACCUUGCAUACUGUCUAAUCCUGGACUUGGUCUGCAUUACAUCAUGUGGUGCCGAUAAAAAAUAAAUAAAAUAAAAAAAACGUAUAUUUUUUUGUGUAAAUUGGCUUUUAGGAGAUAUUUUAGCAAUAAGUCCUGGGGGGGUGUGGUAUAUGGCCAAUAUAUCACGGCUAAGGGCUGUUUAUGUAAAAGGUUCAGUGUAAAUGAUUAAAAGUGGUCAUUGUGCAUCGCGUUGUAUGGCUUUUUAAACUUUGAAAUCAAUCCUUUUUGAUUGGAAAAUCUGAGUAAGUAAUUGAGUAAUUAAGUAAUUUGUGGGCUGCCUAUCCUUCAACGCUGCAAUGAUUUUGAGGGGACUUUAUCAUGAAUAAUUGGGAUGGAGGGACACUGCAAUACCAUACAGGAGAAUUGGGAUGGAGGGACACUGCAAUACCAUACAGGAGAAUUGGGAUGGAGGGACACUGCAAUACCAUACAGGAGAAUUGGGAUGGAGGGACACUUCAAUACCAUAUUUCAUCUGCUGGAGAGGUGCUGUGAACAUGGAUACAUGGCUUCUACUAUCUUAGUUGGAGAAAGGCACAGGACUAUAGCAUUCCUUCAUGUUUUUUUGAUUUCCCAAGGACAACUCCUGUUAAAAUAUGACUUACACAUUACAUUUCCUUUUUGUUGUCCGGUAUUACUACCAGAUAUUUUGUACUUGUUGUGGUUUGUCUUCAUCUGUAACCUGUUUUUGCCUUUACCUCCCUUCUCACCUAAUUUGCUCACAUUGUAUAUAGACUUGUUUCUACUGUAUUAUUGACUGUAUG